GCCACGAUAGAAUAACGAAAGUUCCCCCUCUUCUUACUAGGAGUUGGAAGUGCAGGUUUGAGUCCUGCUCGUGGCU
rnacentral:tRNA from 1 species